rnacentral:rRNA from 1 species
CUCGGACGAAUACCAUAGGGGGUAGAGCACUGUUUCGGCUAGGGGGUCAUCCCGACUUACCAAACCGAUGCAAACUCCGAAUACCUAUGAGUACUAUCCGGGAGACAGACUGCGGGUGCUAACGUCCGUAGUCAAGAGGAAAACAAUCCAGACCGCCAGCUAAGGCCCCAAAAUCAUAGUUAAGUGGGAAACGAUGUGGGAAGGCAUAGACAGCUAGGAGGUUGGCUUAGAAGCAGCCACCCUUUAAAGAAAGCGUAAUAGCUCACUAGUCGAGUCGGCCUGCGCGGAAGAUGUAACGGGGCUAAAACUAUGUGCCGAAGCUGCGGAUGUAUACUUUGUAUACGUGGUAGGGGAGCGUUCUGUAAGCCGAUGAAGGUGUGUUGAGAAGCAUGCUGGAGGUAUCAGAAGUGCGAAUGCUGACGUGAGUAACGACAAAACGGGUGAAAAACCCGUUCGCCGAAAGACCAAGGGUUCCAGUCCAACGUUAAUCGGGGCUGGGUGAGUCGACCCCUAAGGCGAGGCCGAAAGGCGUAGUCGAUGGGAAAAUGGUUAAUAUUCCAUUACUUCUGUGUAAUGCGAUGAGAGGACGGAGAAGGCUAAAUCAGCCUGGCGUUGGUUGUCCAGGUGAAAGGAUGUAGGCAUGUAUCUUAGGCAAAUCCGGGGUACUCUAUGCUGAGAUCUGAUAGCAAGCUGUACUUGUACAGCGAAGUGGUUGAUGCCAUGCUUCCAGGAAAAGUCUCUAAGCUUCAGUUACACAGGAAUCGUACCCGAAACCGACACAGGUGGUCAGGUCGAGUAGACCAAGGCGCUUGAGAGAACUCUGCUGAAGGAACUAGGCAAAAUGGUACCGUAACUUCGGGAGAAGGUACGCUGUUGUUGGUGAUGGAACUCGCUUCCUGAGCUGACGACAGCCGCAGAAACCAGGCCGCUGCAACUGUUUAUUAAAAACAUAGCACUCUGCAAACACGAAAGUGGACGUAUAGGGUGUGAUGCCUGCCCGGUGCUGGAAGGUUAAUUGAUGGGGUUAGCGUAAGCGAAGCUCUUGAUCGAAGCCCCAGUAAACGGCGGCCGUAACUAUAACGGUCCUAAGGUAGCGAAAUUCCUUGUCGGGUAAGUUCCGACCUGCACGAAUGGCAUAAUGAUGGCGGCGCUGUCUCCAGCAGAGGCUCAGUGAAAUCGAAAUCGCUGUGAAGAUGCAGUGUACCCGCGGCUAGACGGAAAGACCCCGUGAACCUUUACUGCAGCUUGACACUGAACUUUGACCUUACUUGUGUAGGAUAGGUGGGAGGCUUUGAAGCUGGAACGCUAGUUCCAGUGGAGCCGUCCUUGAAAUACCACCCUGGUAAUGUUGAGGUUCUAACUCUGUCCCGUGAUCCGGGACGAGGACCGUGUCUGGUGGGUAGUUUGACUGGGGCGGUCUCCUCCUAAAGAGUAACGGAGGAGUACGAAGGUGCGCUCAGCGUGGUCGGAAAUCACGCGUAGAGUAUAAAGGCAAAAGCGCGCUUAACUGCGAGACCCACAAGUCGAGCAGGUACGAAAGUAGGUCUUAGUGAUCCGGUGGUUCUGUAUGGAAGGGCCAUCGCUCAACGGAUAAAAGGUACUCUGGGGAUAACAGGCUGAUACCGCCCAAGAGUUCAUAUCGACGGCGGUGUUUGGCACCUCGAUGUCGGCUCAUCUCAUCCUGGGGCUGAAGCAGGUCCCAAGGGUAUGGCUGUUCGCCAUUUAAAGAGGUACGCGAGCUGGGUUUAGAACGUCGUGAGACAGUUCGGUCCCUAUCUACCGUGGGCGCUGGAAAUUUGAGAGGAUCUGCUCCUAGUACGAGAGGACCAGAGUGGACGAACCUCUGGUGUACCGGUUGUGACGCCAGUCGCAUCGCCGGGUAGCUAUGUUCGGAAGGGAUAACCGCUGAAAGCAUCUAAGCGGGAAGCCUACCUCAAGAUAAGAUUUCCCUAGGACUUUAUGUCCUCUAAAGAGCCGUUCGAGACUAGGACGUUGAUAGGUUGGAUGUGGAAGCAUAGUGAUAUGUGAAGCUGACCAAUACUAAUUGCUCGUGAGGCUAGACUAU